AGGAAGGUUAGUCUUUAUAUAAGAUACAGGGUUGUCAACCCUGAGAAGUUACUUGUAAUACCUUCUUG
rnacentral:tRNA from 1 species